rnacentral:rRNA from 1 species
GACGAACGCUGGCGGCGUGCCUAAUACAUGCAAGUCGCGCGGACCACUUCGGUGGUCCUCUGCGGACGGGUGAGUAACCCGUGGGCAACCUGCCUGUAAGACUGGGAUAACACCGGGAAACCGGUGCUAAUACCGGAUAAUCCUUUCCUUCACAUGAAGGGACGCUGAAAGACGGUUUCGACUGUCACUUACAGAUGGGCCCGCGGCGCAUUAGCUAGUUGGUGAGGUAACGGCUCACCAAGGCAACGAUGCGUAGCCGACCUGAGAGGGUGAUCGGCCACCCUGGGACUGAGACACGGCCCAGACUCCUACGGGAGGCAGCAGUAGGGAAUCUUCCGCAAUGGACGAAAGUCUGACGGAGCAACGCCGCGUGAGCGAUGAAGGCCUUCGGGUCGUAAAGCUCUGUUGUCAGGGAAGAACAAGUACCGGAGUAACUGCCGGUACCUUGACGGUACCUGACCAGAAAGCCACGGCUAACUACGUGCCAGCCGCCGCAGUAA